rnacentral:rRNA from 1 species
CCUACGGGUGGCAGCAGUGAGGAAUAUUGGUCAAUGGACGAGAGUCUGAACCAGCCAAGUAGCGUGAAGGAUGACUGCCCUAUGGGUUGUAAACUUCUUUUAUAUGGGAAUAAAAUGUUCCACGUGUGGGAUUUUGUAUGUACCAUAUGAAUAAGGAUCGGCUAACUCCGUGCCAGCAGCCGCGGUAAUACGGAGGAUCCGAGCGUUAUCCGGUUUUUUGGGUUUUAAGGGGGCGUAGGUGGAUUGGUAAGUCCGUUGUGAAAGUUUGCGGGUCAAACGUAAAAGUGCAGUUGAAACUGGCAGUCUUGAGUACAGUAGAGGUGGGCGGAAGUCGUGGUGUAGCGGUGAAAUGCUUAGAUAUCACGAAGAACUCCGAUUGCGAAGGCAGUUCACUGGACUGCAACUGACACUGAGGCUCGAAAGUGUGGGUAUCAAACAGGAUUAGAUACCCUUGUAGUC